AAAAGGAAACCUAUAACCCUUGAGAGCACAGAGAGCAAACUAAGGGCCGAGCCUCGUUAAAACCCUUUUAAGGCAAAACCUGGAAGAAAAAAACCUUAAAAGGGAAAAAGAGUACUCGUCUACGAAAAGAAGCUGCGGGGAACGGAAGUGAGACAGCUUCAGAGAUUCCGGCCGAACCAUCACCCCUAAGCAGCUCGGUUCCCGAACACAGCAAAACAAACCAAAAAAGAAAAAACAAAGACGAAGAAGACACAAAACUAACCAAAGAAAGCCCGACCGAAGACCCGGCAACAGCACGACAUCAACCACCUCCAAACUGCCCCAGCCACAACUAGUGAUGCCAUGCAAAACGUGCAAACGGAAGAAGGAGAUAACACUCCAAGAAGCGGCACAUCGACGACGAGAGCUACCGCCCCUCAAAUACGCUCGACGUGAAAUAGCAGAAAUACGCCGAUCACGGAGAUCCAAGAGGUCCGACCAGCCGACUCCCAGUGUCGAGCUCACCCGAACACUGAAAAAGGACGCCGCUGACACCCCUACCCAAACGCCAGCAAACACAACCCCAUCAAAGAAGAGACCCUCAACGAUCCACG
rnacentral:lncRNA from 1 species